rnacentral:rRNA from 1 species
GAUGAACGCUGGCGGCGUGCCUAAUACAUGCAAGUCGAGCGAAUGGAUUAAGAGCUUGCUCUUAUGAAGUUAGCGGCGGACGGGUGAGUAACACGUGGGUAACCUGCCCAUAAGACUGGGAUAACUCCGGGAAACCGGGGCUAAUACCGGAUAACAUUUUGAACCGCAUGGUUCGAAAUUGAAAGGCGGCUUCGGCUGUCACUUAUGGAUGGACCCGCGUCGCAUUAGCUAGUUGGUGAGGUAAAGGAUAACCAAGGCAACGAUGCGUAGUCCGAACUGAUAUGGUGAAGGACCAGAUUGUGACUGCGCCACGGCCCAUACACCUUCGGGAGGCAGCAGUAGGGAAUCGUCCACAAUGUACAAAAUUCUGACGGAGCAACGCCGCGUGAGUUAUGAAGGCUUUCGGGUCGUAAAACUCUGUUGUUAGUGAAGAACAAGUGCUAGUUGAAUAAGCUGGCACCUUGACGGUACCUAACCAGAAAGCCACGGCUAACUACGUGCCAGCCGCCGCUGUAA